GAGGCUUCAACAGGAACGCUAUAAAAAGAUAUCAUUCGCCAAAACUUGCAGAGCAAAGUGCAAAGGAAGGUUCACUUUGAGUGGAUGCCAGAGUAUUGAUGAUGAGUGCCCUGCUAAGUAUGACAAGCGUAAAAGAAACAAGAACAAU